AUGGAUCGCCUUUCAGAGGAAAAGCAAGGCGGAUCCAUGAGCAGCGGCAAGAAGAAGGGGAAAGGGAAGCAGCACUCGGCAAGAAAGAACUUCACUGACUCGGACGAUGAGGAUGCGCCUGCACCACCGAGGAGGAAGUUUGACAUCAGGAAAAUGAGGUGUCAUAAAUGUGGCCUCCUCGGUCACUUCAAGACUGACUGCGAAGAAGCACCGAAGCAGCAGGCACUCAUAGCUGAGGAUGGAGAUGAUGGGGAUAUGAUGCUGAUGUGCGAGCUGGUGGACAAGGAGGAUUCAGAUGAUCAUGGUCAGCUAGACACGGGUCCGGUGAGCACAUUCGCGCCAGGGAACCCAGGCGAAGUCGUGGCACCAGAGGUCCAUGACGCAAGUGAUGAUGAAGUGGUCACACUAAAAGCAGGCGAAGACAUGGCGCCAGAAGUCCAUGACAAAAUGCAUGAUGGUGUCUUGGCGCUAGAAAUAGGGGAAGAUGUGGCGCUAGAUGACCACGACAUGCGGCGAGCUGCACCCGGGCCACACAAGUAUGUCGCAUACAUUAUUGUGUCAAGCAGUGUAGCAGCGGGUUGCGAAGACGCCGCGAGCCGCAGCACAUCCGAUGUGGCGAGUGGGGCCGUCAGUGGCGCUCUGUGCGAGACAGCAAGCGGCAAGCCAGCCAUCUCGUAUGAGAAGGCAGCCAGCACAAGGGGUUGCACGGAGGCUGCAGCAAGCUUUCCACAAGGAAGCCUAAUAUCACGUGGAGGCCUAGUGCAUGGUCUAGAACGUGAGUAUAUUCGAGAAUUUUAUGUGCUUAGGGUGAUAAUUUCUUAG
rnacentral:rRNA from 1 species